CACUGGAACAGGCUGCCCAGGGAGGUUGUGGAGUCUCCUUCUCUGGAGACAUUCAAAACCCACCUGGACAUGUUCCUGUGUGACCUCACCUAGGCAUUCCUGCUCCAGCAGGGGGAUUGGACUAGAUGAUCUUUUGAGGUCCCUUCCAAUCCCAAACAUACUGUGAUACUGUGAUACUGUGAUCUUUGGAGUGGAAAAUCUCAGCCUGUAAAAGUCAGGCUCAAAAAAGAAAUUGCCAUCCCAAAACCAAGCCUUGGUUUUGAAGUUGUGACCGAAAUAAUAGUAAGGGAGGCAAGGAGAUGGACUGCAGGCUCAAAGGAAUUAAGAGCACUAAAACCAAAGACUGUCAUCAGGGGUAGACUAAUGGGUAUCAUUGUUGUCUGAGCUCCUGUACUUCAGAUGAUUUACCCUGCAACUUGAAUUCAUCUACAAGGAAUGAAGGGAGAAAGUAGAGAGGUAUGAUCUCACAGCUAGCACUACUAAAAUGAUUCUUUUAUCCAGCUGUAAUUAGGGGACCAAAUUCUUUACAUUAAAGUCUUAGUAUUUCACUAAUUUUAGAAAGAAGAAUUUGUGUAUUGAGUUUUACCACCUUCUCAGUAAAUUAGAAGACACAUCAAUGAAAGUACCACUGGAAAACCCGUUUGAAUGUACCUGACUUUAUUACAAUUUGAUGUGACAUCAGCAGCUAUGAAUUACUGGAAAAAUAUUCCCAAGAUGAGGAAUUCUGCUGGACCAGGUGACAUGCUGAGUAAUGGCCAAACUUAUUUCCCAGCUGGGUGCUCCAAAGAGGCACUGAAAGAAAGCAUGUUACCAAUUACAGUAUUGCAUUGAAAAUGUUAAGUCCCUUAGUUAAUAAGGACAAAGGGACACAUUAAAGCUGCUGAAGUACAGCUGUCAUAAAGAGAUGGGGUGUAGCAGAAUGUGUCUCCUCAGAUGCUGCUUGUUUUCCCUUACAAGCUGCCAUGCCAGAGAGCAGGUGCCAGUGCUCGCAAAAUCUCUGCAGCAGAAACACUGGCUCUGGCCUUUGGGACCAGCAAAUGAUUUUGUCAUCCUGACAUCUGAAACCCCUGAAUGCACCCUUUGUCCCAUUGCAUCCUUUUCACAGGGCAGAAAAUCAGGUUAUGUGUCAUGCUCAGAGAACUUGAAGAAGAGAUGUGCUUAAAUGACAACUGUUUUAGUGACUGGAUAAAAAUGUACACCAUGACCAGACAACAAGACAGAUGCUGGAGUAUUUGCAUCACCGUAAUUUAUUUGUGCUUUUCCACCAAGCUGAACUGCACUCAUCUCUUACAUGCUUACCUAAACUUAUUUUCAGUGAACAAAAAUAACUGCAGAUAAUGUCAGCUUGCUAAUGGGUCCAAUGAUAGAAUUUCUUUUGCCUGUUUGACAGACUUGAUUCUUCUGCAUGAAUCUAUAGCUUGCUCAGCUAUGCCUGGAGGCAGAUAUGCUGCUGUGGGCUUCUUCAGUUCUGUUGAUGGGUGCUGUUCCACCAGCAAGUUAAUCUGUUUCUGUAGAUAAAUCAUGCACAAAUGAAAGAGCAUAUGUCAAAUCUUAAUCCUGUUUCAGUGUGGAUGAACCAGUAUUGCUAAAAUAAGUUCCCCUUCCCUCCUACGCUUCAUCUUCAGAUAUCAUUUGCGUCUGGACCAGUCACAUAUAUCUAUUUUGAUAAAUAUUCCUAAAGGGAGAGCCAGCCACUUCCUCGUUUGUUUAAUUUUAAUCACAGCAGCAAGCUUUCUUGAAGGGAGGCAUGGGAACACACUACUUCUGCUGGCAUCCCACAGCAGUUGAUGCUCCUGACUGUAGAAGAAUUUAAAGCCUUUGGGGACUGGUGUGAUGCAGCCUGCAUGGUUCUCUGUGCAAACCACUGCCAGGUCUCUGUGCUUCACAGGGAAUUUUCAGAGGCUUUUGACUGUCUCCCUGAAGAAGCAGAAUGGAGCACAACGCACCAGAACCCUUGGAGAACAAGCUGGCCCAUCUGGCCACCUGCAGAAGAUACCAAAGGGUACAAUAAUCUGCUGAGCUGCCCCAGUAAAACUGGGCUUAUUUGGCAGACUAAUUCUGAAGGGGUUUAAGUGGUCUUGGUAAGUAUUAUACUUUUAUAUCAAAAACAUAGCAACAUGUGCAAUUUACCCUCAACAAGGGAUAUGAAUAAUUAAUGAUUAACUACUGCUCUGAUUAAACCCUGUCUCCAGCACUUGGCUUGAAGACCUGCCCUAGAUAGGAGGAUGUACCUGGCAACAAAGCCCUCAUGACCCUCCCCAGGCCAUGGAUCUGUUGCACAAAAAUGCGAUCCUUGCAUCUUUGGCAGUUUGUGUUUCCCUGCAGUCCAAAGCCUGUGCUGGAUCAGAGAUGCCUAGUUUUAAGGCUCUUUUGCUCUGGUACUCUCUAACACAAAGUUUUUGAAGAGUAGACUAGGUGUUAAAACUGGUAAAAUGUGUUGAAAAACUUAUUUUGAAUGAACAACUAUAGCUACAGAGGUCAUGUUGUGUGUAGGGUUUAUGCCUAGUUGUCAUGCCAUAAUCAGAAUAUUUUUGAUGAGAAGAAAUCUUUGUACCCUUAGGAUUUAAUAAGCAAUUAAACAUCCUAUGAAACUCUUUAAAUGAAAUGAAAACAUCCAACCAUUUGAGAAGUAAAUCAGAAAAAUAUCUAUUCACAUAUUUAAAGGUACUUGACAUGGUUAACAUUUUAUAUUACUGUUGUUAGAGAAAUUAAACCAGGAUGGUACUCAAAAUCCAGAAACAUAGAUGUAGAAACAGUCCUACCUUACAGAUCUGAUGAUAUAUAAAGACAUUAUUGUCAGGGUACCAAAUAUUUCACUUCGGGUUAAGCUGAAAGGGAAAGAUUUUGUCUUGCCCUUCUUGUACCAUAUUCAUAUGUGAAAGAUAUGCAGAACAUCUAAUGGAGUGUUGCAGUGCAGCACAGGUGAAACAAGAUUGUUAUACCCAUACUGGAUAUUGAAAAAUGGCAAAUGUUAAAAAAAUCCAACAAUGCAAAAUUUCUGGAGUCUUGUGUUUUCUGUGGGAAAUUGAAUCAAAACUCAUUGUCUUUCCAUUGCAUGAAAUGGACUCUAGUAUCAACCUUCACUGAGCAGCAUGAAAAGAUCUGAAAUCCUGCAGUGAUGUAAAUACAUCGUUAAAUUUCCCUUUCCUUUUCUUGCCUGUUAAAAUCUGCACUUGAUCUGUAUUUUUCUGUUUUCUGAAGACUGAGAAGAUGUUUUUCCUGGUUUUCAAAUGAAUUUUUGUAUGUCAGCUAUAAAAAUCCCAGAGAAUUUAUCUUCCGCAUGUUUGCAGUAAGUGACCUAGUUCACUGUAGAAAUAGGUUAAAUUUAGCCUUCAUAAAAAAUCUAUUUUCAUCUCAUAAAAUAUCUCUUAGCCUGUGUCUUUUUGUAUUUAAUAAAGUGUCUGUCUCUUCAUGCUUAAAAAGCUGGUGGUGUUUUGACUAGCUUUGAUCAAGACACGCUCAUUCAGACCAUGACAGCCUUAAUUACAUCCAGAGAUAUGGUAACAAGACAGGCUUUUUUUCUGCCUGAUAUGCUUAAUAUCUUAUAGUAUAUUUUUGAUCCAGAUUUUGAAAUAGUAUGUAUUCUUUUGUUUGUAAAAAAUGAUCAACUGAUGGAAAAUGAAGGGGUUUUUUGUUUGUUUUUUAUUCCCUUUUAACAUGUCUGUAUAUUUGCAUUCUGAGAUAAGCAGAACUAUGUGCUACAUUCACACUUUAUGGUUAAAAAUUACACAUGCACUAUUGUCUUGGUUUUGGUUGAGAUGAAGUUAAUUUUCUUCCUAUAGUCCUGUGGUUUGGAUUUAGGAUGAGAAUAACAUUGCUAAAAUAUCUGAUAUUUUAGUUAUUCCUAAACAGUCAAGGACUUUUCAGCCUUUCAUACUGGCCUGACAACAAGAAGGUGGGGACUGCACAAAACGCUGGGAGGAGGCACAGAUGGGACAACUGACCCCAACUGACCAAAGUGAUAUUCCAUACCAUAUGGCAUUGCGCUUAGUAUAUAAAGCUGGGGGAAGAAGAAGGAAAACGCGGACAUUCAGAGUGAUGAUAUUUGUCUUCCCAAGUAACUGUAACAUGUGAUGGAGCCUGGAGACGGCUGAACACCUGACUGCAGAUGGGAAGCAGUGAAUGAAUUCCUUGUUUGCUUUGCUUGUGUGCAUGGCUUUUGCUUUGGUUAUUAAGCUGUCUUUAACUCAAUCCAUGAGUUUUCUCACUGUUACCCUUCCAAUUGUCUACCCCACUGCACUGGGGGAGUGAGUGAGCAGCUAUGUGGUGCUUAGUUGUUGGUUGAGCUUAAACUGCAAUGGUUCUUUUUGGUGCUCAAAAUGAGGCUCAAAGGGUUGAGAUAAUGACAGAUUUCUUUGGACUGUGCUAGAUCAAAUUUAUGGCAGUUAUUACGGCUUAGCUAUUAACUGUCAGGCCUCUGUUCUUGCAGUGGGACUUCCUUGCCCUACUGUAUAUUAGAGUCCUGUGCUUGUUAGUGGUUGCUUGUUGCUUUUACUGCUUUGUGGUACGGCUGCACUGCAUAUCAUUUUACUGUACUGUGCCUGAGAACGUUUUAAUAACAGCAAUGGCAUAUGCCUGGGUUGGCGGAUGGCCAGGAGGGCCAUCACUGCUGUUUCUCUGCUGCUGUUCAGGAUGGUCUGGAACUCCAGUAUGAACUUGGGUUGAAACCACUCUGCAGACACACAGGUCAGUGAAAAAGGAGGAGAAGAAGGUACUCCAGGUGCCAGAGCAGAGGUUCCCUUGCAUAAUGUGGUGCAGACCAUGGUGAGGCCAUCUGUCCCCCUGCAGCCCAUGGUGGUCCUUGUUGGAGCAGAGAUCUACUUGCAGCCUGUGAGGGAACCUCACACCAGAGCAGGUGGAUGUCCAAAGGAUUGUACCCCAUGGAAGGGACCCAUGGUGGAACAAUCUGUGCCAGAUGGACUGUAACCCAUGGAAGGGACCUGCGUUGGAGCAGUUUGUGAAGGGCUGCAGCCUGUGGGAAGGACUCACAUUGCAAAAGUUCAUGGAGAACUGUCUCAAAUGGAAGUGACCUCAUGCUGGAACAGGGGAUGAGUGUGAGGUGUCCUGCCCCUGAGGAGUAAGGAGUGACAGAGACAAUGUGUGUUAAACCAACUACAACCCCCAUUCCCAAUCCUCCUGUGUCAAUCAGAGCAGGUGAGGAUGUAGAGAAAUCGGGAGUAAAGUUAAACCCAGAAUUUGAGUUGCAUGGUGAGGGAACUAUUAUAGCAGGAAACGCUUGUUGCUAGCCAGGCAAGGAGCAAGGCAGGGAGUUCAUUGCAAUGUUAAACCCUAUAAUCUGGCCUAAAGGGACCGGGGUGGAGAUUGAAAUAGAAAUACCUUUAAAUUGUCGUAACCCAUUAUUUGAGUUGCGUGCUAUAGGAUUCGUGAUAGCUGUCUCAGCUUACAAUUCCUGGUUGCCUCAUGUGAGUUUUUAUGACAUGCAACUUGAUAAGCUUAUGCUAAUCAUAUCCUUGGUUAAUUUUACUGACUAUAUUCCACUGUCAUUACAGGUAACACUAUCUUUAGGGUUCAUAAUAAUGACACACUGCAUUCUUUGUUCCUAUUUUUAGGAAAGCUGUAAGUGCAUGGGGAAAGGAUUUGUGUGCUUAUGCAAACGCAUGAUUGCCCGAAAGCUUUCUGAGCUAUGUCAGAAACCAUAACAAUAAUUACCGGUUUUUAUUAGUUCAGAUUUCAGCACAGGUAUGACUCUGUCUAUAUAAUUUGAUGACCAUAAUGUAGGAGACAGAAAAUAUGUUACUACUGUUUACAGAUUUAGAUAAUAUCCUCUUCUAUAUGGACAUGCACAGGAGUGAUGGCUCGAAAGCUGAUUUUUAUGCCUCAAGUAGUCAUCAGGAUUCAUAGAAUACAAGUUUGUGGAGGAUGUGGGACUUGAGUCCAGUCGCCUUGUCACUGCAAGUGAGCAAGAACAGAGAUUCUGCCUGGAAACUACUGAACAGAAAAAGCUUAAUAGAGGAGUAAUAUCAUCCCACCCAAAGAGCAUCCAGGUUUAUAUCAUACACAAUGAAAGAAAGGGACUGGAAAUCUACAUACACAUGGUAUUAAAAGAUGCUCUUUCACAACUAAAGGGCACUUGGAGGCAUAUUCAAUUGCUUGUCUACUUCCCUCUUCAUUUUCCUGAUAAAAUGAUUCUGUGGAGGUACUGCAAGGUCCAUAUCCUUCCUACGCUGGUGGUUCCAGAGCUGGAUGCAGUACUCCAGGUAGAGUCUCACCAGAACAGAGCAGAAGAGCAGGAUCACGUCCCUCAGCCUUCUCAUGAUGCAGAUUCUGUCUUUUUGAGGAUGAAAUGAGAAUGCGAAUCCAGGGGAAAAACUGAUGAAAUACAAAUCUAGUCCUAUCGUAAACACCAUGCAGCUGGUCAUCACGUGUGCCUUUAUGUUAUAUAGUGAUGUUCACACAGCAAUUUAGCGAUUAUUUAUUUGAAGUUCGAUAGAUAAGUAUGACCUUUUUUUUUCUCCCUGCUUAUCAUUACAGUAAUGCAUCAUGCUUUCCUUUCUGGUCAGGCAGGUUUCAGGACUACGGUUAUUUUUUGUUUCUUUCUUAAAGCCUGAAUAUCAUUUGCAAUGUAAAGCAUAUAAAGCUGAUCUACUGUCUCAGAAAUAUUGUACACAUCUGCCUAGAUGCGUGUGUCACACGGCCCUGUCAAAAGGGCAUCACACUGAGAAAGAAGUUGUCUUAAGUUGAAUUAUGAUUUCCCUACAGACAGGUCUAAACUUCAGCAGUGGAAACACUGGGAAAACUAUUCCUAUCAAAACUUAUUCCCACCUGGUUCCUGGCAUAGGUUAAGCUAUGCUAUACAUUAAAAUAAUAGAGCUUAUCCUGUCUAAGCCCCUGUCUGUUCCAAACUGCCUUGGCCCAGUUGGAGAUACCCAGAUAAUUUGAAAGAGUAUAUAAACAAAAAGUACAUACAUAUGUUGAGACACUUUGGACUCCCAUGGAUCUCUGUGGGUGAUCUCUCUACAUCUGUGUAUUUAAUUACCAAAAAUUCGUUUGUGGGAGUAGAAAAUGCAUGAAGGUUGUCUUAAAAAAUGUAUGUUUUAUGACUCUGACAGGUGAAUACGUAUUAUUUAAAAGUGUAACCAAGAAUUUUACAGUAAGAGAGCUUGGGCCAUUUCCACUUUCUUCACUAGCCAUUUCUCCUGUGUCACAUUUUUGUCAGCUAGGAGUAGACAGCCAUUUACAUUAGGUGGGAUUUUGUCUAAAGACCCAAAGAUUUCUGCCUAAAGGUAUCACUAGCUUUUCCUGAAAACUGCAGUCCAAGGAAGACAUGGGCCAACUGGGUCCAGAGAAUGACUAUGGAAUCACAGGACAUCUAAAGAAAUAUUGAAGGAGUUUACGUUGUCUCCAAAGACAAAAUAGUAGCUUCAGAGAUUAAGAGUAUGGGAAGUUAUUUGUGAUCAUUGAAGUUAGGACACAGAAAAAUGAACAAACAAAAACAACAAAAAACCCCAAAGAAACAAACAUAAAACCCCACUAAAAAUAAAAACCCAAACCUCAAACCCCAAAUUAAAAUUGUAGCAAGAAAGAUUUAGAUAUGGCAGCCAUCAUUCAUGUAGUAAAGACUUUAAGCACCAAAAUAAUUGGUUGAAGCAGGCAACUGAACAUUGUUCACCAGAGGUUUCAGAAACCGCUUAGCCAGAAAUGCUAUAAGUAUCAUUAAUCCUUCCUUGGAUUUUUAAGGUUAUUUUCUGUCCUAUUUUCCUAGAUUCUGUAGCGUAGUCUCUUUUAUUUUUCGUGACAUGUAAGAAAGAUUAGAAUGCAAAACAAAAGAGAUGUAUAGAAGGAUUAUUUAGUGUAUUACAAGGUACACAGAAAACUCUAGAGUUGUCUAUCAAUUAAUGUUAAUGCUUUUAUUAGCCUGUUCUGUAUGAAUGAUGAUAGAAUCGUAACUGCCAUUUGAGAUAAUGCAACAAUAUUUGGCAGAAUCACACAGAUUGUCUUUGGAAUCACCAUAACCUUUUCCUUUCAGACUUUGAUACAUAAAAUUCAUACUGUAGGAAUUCUGUUCUGCAGAGAAGAUCAUAAAACUAACUUUUGUCUCAGUACUUAAAUAAAAAUUCACUGCUUGUAUGUGCCUGGCAUAGCACCCAGACUUUUGUUGCAAGGAAGAAAAUUUAUUGAAAAUUAAUAACAUCUUUCCUGUGGGAUCUAUCUCAAUUGAAUUAAUAACAAGAAAAAAAAAAACAAAACCUUGUUUAUUGAGAUUGGUGUUUCUGAGGGAAAAAAGACAAAAUGCUUCAGUCUAUAUUUUUAAUUUUUUAGAAUGACUGGGUAGUAGUAAUUUGUCAGUGCCUGAAGUACAUCAAAUAUGAGACGAAGAGUUUUAUCCAAUAAGUCGGAGAUGCGUUUGUUUUAAAAACAAAGCACAGAAUUUUCUGAGUAUAUCCAGUGUCUUUUAUGCUAUUCACAGAUGGGGAUUCUGACAAAAUAGUCAAAAUGUGCUUCCUGUAUGUGGAGUAAGACAGGAUCUUCUGCUCUUCUGCUACAUUUGUUUAAUUCAUUUUUGCUCUCAUUAGAAACUGGGGUGAUAGUAUACCGCUACACCUCUUUCAGCUAAAUAUGAUAAAGUCCUAAUCUUGUCCCCAGUGAUAUUAAAGGGAAUUUUCACACUGGCUUUGCUGACUCAGGAACUGGUAUGUGAUACUGCAGUUUAUUUAUUUAUAUGUAUUUAUUUCUUUAUUUUAUAUUUAUUUAUUUAUUUUAUUCUUUUAUUUAUAUUUAUUUCUUUAUUAGAGUAUUAACUUAACCUGAUAAUUUUUUGGAGAAGGUGGAAGAAUGUUGUGCCACCAGGUUCAGAGAGCAUAGCAGCUCAAAAUGGCAAGGUGUUACACUGUGUAGACAAACCUGAAACGCAUGAGCUUUUUGAACAGUCAUUUUGUCUUAGUGAGGUGGAAUAAUACUGACCCAUACACUAAAAUAUGACAAAAAAAAAUGAAGGCCAUUAAACAUGAGAUUUAUCAAGUAUGACAGUGGGAGAAAAAUGUACAAGUGAGAGUUCACAUAGUAGUUCCUCUUGGUGGUUGUUUCCAGAUACUUGACCUGGCUUGAGUGAAAACCAGAAUCUGAACUGAUGUAGCAGUUGUGUGACAUUUAUUUGAAGGUUUUAUAUCCUAAAAUUUGGAUUUGUAGCUUAAAUUUUCAAUUGCUCAUGUAUUUGGCUGUACGCACUUUACUACGCAUUAGAAGUUGCUGUUUGGUUUCUCUCCUGAUUUGCACAGAGGCUUUUCUUUCACAACUGCUUAAAUAGGUUUAUAAUUAAAGGAAUUUUUGUCCCAGUAAAUCUUAUCAGGAUCUAAAGAAAAGAUAGGUGGAUUUUUUGAGAGCUGGAAGCAGGAAUCCUGCGGAGUAAAACUCUUAAACUUGUAAACUAACAUGAAAUAUCACCCAACUGUUGAAGAGAAUGAUGACUUAACAAUAUAGACUAGCACCCUGCUGUUGUAUGUUAGCUUGUUUAACUUUUUAUUAUAAAAUAAGCCUAACUUAAUAAUAAUUUGGAACAUUUUCAUCUAACUUCCACUUGGCACAACACAUAGACUACAAAGAGAGUUUUGCCUGGUACUAAAUUACAGCUAUGAACUGAGAUUUUCAUGGCCAAGUUAUUGAUCUGUGAAAACAGGCUUGCUGAUAGAAGUCUCAGCAGUCUUAAAAACACAUAUUAAUGGAAAAUAUUUUUCAAAAAGGCAAAAACAUUUCCUAUAGACUAUCCAUAUUCAUGUUUGUACUAAAGCUUGAUUUAGGCAUGGAAAGAAUUAAUGAAGCUCUUGGGCCAGUUCUACCCUAAGACCAACAUGGCCUCUAGAGCCUGUGUUCCUACACUUCAUAUCUUGGCUGGGCAGCUGAAAAGGUUUUCUCUUUCUUCCCCAUAUUUUUUAGAUUUUAUCUGUAUUUCACACUUUUAUUUUAAUAACCAUUAUUUAUAACCAUCAUUUUAUAACUAAAAUUUUGUAAGAUCUUUUUAAGAGAUGCAAUUGAAAAUUCUGUCUAUCAAAGGCAUUGCAUAAUUCAUUGAAUGUUAUGACAGUGACGUAUUUAAUUCCUUUUCUUCAGUUGAAACAUUUGGAAGAACAAGAAAUUCUUGACUUAGUCAAGAUUUUCUUCCUAGAAGACCAGUAUGCCUAUCAAUACUGAGGACACUAUAGCAACAUUUAAAAAAAAAAAAAUAAAAAAAAAUCAGACAGAACUCUAAUUUCAUUGCCAUUAGUAUGUUUUCAGAACCUUACCUAAGCCAUCAUUUUUGGAUGUUCAUGCUGAUAAUGACCUGACAUUGACUUAAAGUUGACUCUUUGAACCUGUAAUUGCUAUUCAUUAUUAUUGAAACGGAGGAGCUGUAGAUAUCUGUAGAUAUUUAUUAUCUGGCAUAAGAACAAGACAAACUUAAAAGCAGCUACAAAUAAUUGUCAGAUCCUCAGCUCCUGUGACAGCUAUUUAUUUGCUCUAUAAGAAAGGAUGAAUCUGACAAACAUUGCAGUAUUUUAUUUUAUAUCAUGGAGUUUAAUAUACGAUAUGUGUGUGAUUUUGAGCCACUGAAUAGCCUCAGGGAUGAGGGACUUCGAACAGAGCUAAAUAGAAGAUGAAUCAUCCACAACAAAAGGAGUUACAGAAGCAAGGUAAAGGUGUAACUAGUUCAAAUAGCAACUAGAAUUCACAGCCUGAUUUGAUACUGAUUUAUGCUUUAUUGUCUGUAAUUCAAUGCACAUGUGUAUUCGACUAGAAGGAUCCUGUUUUAUACUUUGUAUAUAGACAGGAGUCUCAGGCUGCCAAAGCUUCACCCAAAUCCAGGAAUAUCAUUGAGAAAGCUCACCCUCGAACAUGGGCACAGGUCUGCUCAGUGGAGCUCAACAUUAACUUGUACAAUUGAAGAGACUGAAAAAACUAUCAUACGUGCUCAGGCUUUUCCUUUCUGAGGAUGCAGAGCUGCACUUCAACUUGGAAUACACAGUAGGUUUCCGUUCAGGGGACAUUUAUUUGGCAUUUGCUUAAAGUAGGUAUGAUUUAAGAAUGAGUUCUGUUUGCUUUUUCUGUACAAAGCCAUUUACUUCCAAUUUCAUUAACAGCAUAUGGAUCAUCAUAUAUUUAAUUAUUUUAUAGAAUUAAGUAUGUACAGCCCUGUGGGAGAUAACAGUGGAUUAGCCAGCUUCAAAGGUAUUUAAAUUUGAGGGUAAGAAGUUUUUAUUUUCAGACAUGGAAGAAAAAAAUAAAGAAAGCAAAAAUUGAUAUUGUUUUGUUUUCUCCUGCUGAAUAAGAUUCAGGGCAGUUUUAUAAAUAUAAUUUUAAAUAUUUUUAUUUAUACACUAUCUCUCUAAAUUAGAUGUAAUAUUUAUGUGUAUGUAUUAUUAAUAUAUUAUUCUAUAUACCAUCUUUCAGUGUGAAAAAAUCAUAGCCAGAUGAUAAUUUAAUUUUCAGCAGUAUUUGAAGAAGACAUCUAAUUGAUUCCAGUGAAGUUGUUAACAAUGUAAUUAAACAGAAAAUCAGGCUCAAGAUAUCCUCUAUAGAAAGAUUUGCAUACAGUGCAAAAAUAUUACAGUAUUACAUAAUUUAUUUGCUGUUAUACGUAUCUAAAGGAUGUAACCAAUAUUAGGCCAUGAUGAAGUGCUGUUGUAAAUGAUAUGGCUUUAUUCCAAGUUAAAGUCUAUAGAGAUAUGCCCUGAGAAAUUACAUCCAUGAAGAAAAAGAGUAAGAGGAUGGCUAUGAGAUUGGCACUGAUGUAUGGCGUUCUUCAUCCACAGAUGAGCUUUUGAGUCAGAUUUAUGUUCACAAUGAGUUCAAAUCAAUACAAGUGAUAGCUGAUGGCUCUGAAACCUCUUAGUCCAUUCUCUAGUUCCAAGUUGGCAAUUUGACCAUCAAAACCACAGCCCAUGUAAAACCUGGUAUUAAACUGCAUCAGGAACAGUUGCCUGAGGUGAGAAGCAAAAACACAAAUUGAUUUUGUGAUUCAAUUAUACUUACAGACUUAGGAGAACAAUUUAGAUACAAGGAUAUUAUGAAAUAUUUUCUAUAUUUUGUAAAAUAAAGUCUUGGAGUUGAAAAAUAAUAUUUAAGUAUUCAUUAAACUGUUCAAACUGAGCUUAUGCAAGAGACUAAUAACUGCUUUUAACUUACUCUUUAGUGAAGCAUAGGCAUAUUUUGGCUUUGUAUGUUUGUAUACACAUAUGGAAAAUUAUCUUGAUAGUGAUCUGGCUUAGAUAUAAAAUCUACCCAUACUCCUUUUAUUCACUGUGACUACUCAUGAAAAAGCAGAUCAUUGCCAUUAUCCCAUUCCAAAGCUUUGUUUACCUUGCGUGCAUAUGCACAUAGGAUAAAAAAGAAUUGGAGAGAAAAUUAUUAGUCCUGUUUCAAUCUCAUAUCACUUCUGAGAAGCGUAUCUACGUGGAUUUUAGAGUAGUUAUUUCUGACUGUCUAGGUUUGAUUGCAGGGUGGCAAUAAACCAUGGCAGAUGUAUUUUUAACCCCCUCUCCUCCCCUUUUUCCCUUUUAGCCCCUCCCUCUCCCCCUUUCCCACUAAGGACAGGAGAUCGGGAGGAAAAGAAAGACAGAGAGAAGAGAGUUGGAGAAAAUUAAAAAUGUUUUACUAAUGCUACUAAUAAGAAUAGAGAAAAUAAUACAAAAUAUACAAAACCAAACUUGAAAGUCUCGGCCACUCCUCUGGCAGAGGUAGGGCUGGCACCCGGAAGUCCUCGAACAGACUCUACAGCCAACCGGAACUGGAUUCAGUCUAUCACUAGGUUUCAGUUCGCAGGGAUGACUUGCAAGGUACUCUCCUAAUGUUGGCCAUAGGGAAAAAGGGAGGAGAUCCUUGUGAUCUCCCACUUUUAUAUAAAGUAUCAUGUGAAUGGAAUGGAAUACUCAGUUGGUCAGUUUCAGUCGCCUCCUGCUCGCAUCUCAUGUGGGAUGCAUCAUUAUCAAUGAACUUGACUUCCAUCGCUAUGUCUACCAAAACAUGUAUCUAGCUUUCAGAAAAAUGCAGUUAGUAAGAAGACUUUAGCUGACAGGAAAAUCCACUAAAAGACAAACUUGUUUUUAAUAAAAUGAGGACACUGACGUAGUGAUCACAUAAAAGAGAAAAGAUGUCUUAUUGAGACAAGGAAAAUGCAGAAUAUAAUGAAUUUACAUUUCUCUGAGGAAACAAAAAUGUAUCAAAAAUAAUUUUUUUAUCUCACCAUGAUUUAAUGUUAAACAUAUAUAGUUAUGGCCGAUAAUUAAUGAAAGAUAUAGAUCUGCAUAAUAAUUCAUUAAUGGUGGUGAGUUUUAUAAUAGAAUGCUUUUAUUACCAUUUUUGUGACUGAAGUUACAGAGCUUGAGGUAAGAUGUUUUUAUUUUAUUUAGUUUUAGGUAUGUUACGAUACCUAGUUAUUUUUGUGCUUCAUGGACACAUAUUACAGGCUUUCUUAGAAGGGCUUUUUUAACAUUUAAUUUGGUUUUGAUUCUUUUAUUUGCUGCAUUGGAAUAAAUUAGGAAUUCUGAACUAAUUUUAUAUGAACUAAUCUAAGAACAGGUCAGGAAAUCAGAGUAACAGAUUAGUAACGAGUUGAGUUAUUCAGCUGCACUUGAGGUCUAAUAGAUGUUUUGUGGUCUGCAAUGUAAAAGCAACCUAAGUAGACAACACUGUAUUACUCAAAUCCUGUUUGAAAACAGGGCUACCAUUGUGCAGUUGUAAAGAAUUUGAUAGAAGUAACUUUCUUCCAAAAAUGAUUUAGAAGGAUAACAGUGCUAAAAGCAGCGGACUUUAGUAUACGAAUCUCAAGAUAGCUUGAGCUUUUGAAGUUUGGAUGACUUUUUGAAGGUCAGGCUGCCUAUAAUUGGUUCAUGGUUAGUGUUAAACAUGGUUUUAUACAUUUGCAUAAUCUUCAUGCAGUUAGGGUUUCAAAAAGAAAAAAAUAAUAACAAUUUAAAAAGCUAGUCCCCCCCACCCCCUUGCAAUUACAGACCCCAAAUAUCUGCUUAAAUAUGAUGAAAAUGAAGGAUAAGGACUUAGUGGUUUGAUGCAGGCUCCCCAUGGUAUUCCUUUGAACUGCUGAGACAUAGUCACUCUUUCUUGUUUAUUCUAGUUUAGCACAAACCUUGCCACUCAGUGUAACCACAUGUUCAAAGCUAAACAUAAAAUGGUGUAGCUUUAAAGAACUCAUUAAUUUUCUUUGUACUCAAAAGCAGUAACAAGAAAAAAUGUGAUAUGUUAAUUCUGAGCUCAAAUGCAUUCUAAUUUUACUGCUGUUUACUUCAAAGGGUCCUGAAAAGAGUAUGCUGGAGAAUUGCAUUCUUGUGUUGAAAAAUUAAUAUAUUGCUGACACUGACCCAUUUUUCUGAUUCUCUUUGUUUUAUGCAUUUUUAAAAUUUUUGUAUCUGUAAGACAGGUCCAUAGUUAAACGUCUUUUAGGAUACUGGCCCUUGAAAGAUUAAAAAGUAAACCAUGUUAUACUUUGGUCUGUUUAUUUUUUUUUUAAACAAGGAAGAUAGUCUAGAAACUGCAAUUGUCUUGACUCUUUCUGUUGAGGUCAAAAUUGCUAAACAGAUUCUGUUAUUCCUGGAAAAUUGCUUAUAUUUUUAAGCCACUCCUGUGAAUCCUGAUUUACAUGGUUGACAUCAACGGAGUUAUUAAAGCCAGUACUCUUGCCUUUACAAAUUAUAAAGCAUUUUCAGUUAUAUUAGCUGUUAUUUUGAAAAGUAAUAACUUUCUCUGUGUUCCACGAAUAUUGUGAAACAGUGUAAGAUACAAGUAGUACUGCAAGUGUUAAUGCUUCUUUGUAAUACUCAGUUCACCUGACUGAUCCAAAAUGGUAAAAUAUGUAUUCAUAUUUCUGUGAAUGCAAUACAGAAAUAGCUACAAGAUUAGUAGAUGGGUUGUGGCAUAGGUGAUCCUGCAAAUAUAAGGUCUGUGUCCUGGCAAAUCUCCAAUAACUGUUCGAAUAAACAGUCAUUUCUAGAGAAGUCAAUAACAUUAAAAAUGUGUUGACAUAGUUGCUUUUCCACUGGGUAAUGUAAGUGUAAAAUCAGGCACUAUUAGAAAUUUAACCUUGUGUUCAGUUUCGCAUGGAGCCUAUUGAACCCCACAGAUCACAAUCUUCCCUUUCCCUGUCCUGAAAACUUUCUGAAUCUUUAUAGUCACCCAUACCAGAAAUUACUAUGAGUCAGUAUUAGCACUCAUCUCUUUCUGUUUAUUCCAAAGAACAUCUAAAUGUUUAAAUGCUGCAGGCACCCUAUGAUGUAAUUUUUGCGUAUCACAUUUCUCUAUCAUUAAGAUAGAAUUAUAUUUAAAUAGAGUGUGGUUUAUAAUUUCUGGUUAUAGUAAUGUUAUGUUAUUUAGUGUAUAUAAUUAUCACUGUUCACUGCAAACUAUAAUUAUUCUGUUUCUUGCAAUAAUUUCUAAGAUGAAAUUUUUAAUUUCUGUCAUAAAGAUGCAUCAAGCUCAUUUUGCAAAGAGGUAGUUUUGGUUUUUUAAAGAUGGUCUGAUUAUUUUAACUGUUUUACAUUAUUUUGGAGAUUCCCUCUUUGCAUAAAUCCCUACUAUAAGCAAAGGGGAAAUAUACAGUGUUCCAACAAGAUUCUGAGCAAUAAUAAAACAUGCUAGGCUGUAACAGAUGACAGUAUGCAAGAAAUAGUAGUUCUAAGCAUGUGUUCUAAAACCUACCAGAAUAGAGUUUUUCAUUUCACUUGAAAUAUCGGGAUUCAUAAAGGAAUUGGAUUUUUGAACUUGAAAAUUACCAAUGACUAUGAUAUAUACAAUUUAUCAUGUAUUUUAAUAAAUAUAUACAAAAAAAAGCAGAUAGCUCUAUGUUUAGCACAGUGAUGCCACCGGGUAAAACACGGCAUAGGAUACUGCUGUACAAAUAGGCAUAUCAUAUCCUGAUAUUACAGUUCUAUAUUUUCUUACUAUAAUAUUGAGAGAAACAAAGUUAUCUUAUAAAGCCAUUGUCUCAGUGAAGUCUUACGAUAAGAGAAAACGCACAUCUUGUUUAUGCAUCAAGCUUUCAAGCAACAAAGAUACUUAACAAGAUCUCCAGAUUGCUUAACUCACUUAAUUAUACAGUAAAUUUAAUGAAAUUUUGUUAUAGCAGUUUUAAUAUUAAAAAAUUCAAUUGAGCACUCACUUUCAGAUAGAAAGCAGUUAUUGAAAGAUCUUAGACAUCUGGGCAUUUAAACACGAGAAAAAAACUGUGGUGUCCCAGGUUUCUUUAGCUCAUAGAUCUUGUUUUAAGGAAGGCAGUCCCCUCACACUUUUCUGUGAAUGCAGUUGAGGGUUAGGUUGUUUUCACCUGAAGGUGGCAUUGCAUGGAGUUAUCUGAAGUCAUGAACAUGAGAAAAAAAAGUUCACAACGAUGUACAGUAAUGUAAAUGAUGAUGGUCCUUUGAGUUUUGCCCAAUGUAGCAUCUACUUGUCACCAACAACUAAAUGUCAAGUCUGAUGACUGAGUUAAUUGCCACUCAUUGGCACAAAGAGCAAAAGGAACCAGUAAAUUUGAUACUGCUUCAUUAAUUUUUAUUAUUUCCAAAACAUCAGCUUCUGCAUCUAUUCCUUUUGUAGUAUGGUCUUGUUUUGCACACUUCAAGCUUUCUAUUUUGCUCUGUUUUGUUGGUUUGGUGGAGUGUGUUGUUUUUAGAGGUACUUGUCUCUCUCCCUGGAAUGUAAACUUGCUCUGAAUAUGUGCGUGUACAGAAGAGAUGUGGGAAAGCCGGGUCUUAUCUUACUAAUCAAUCAACUGACUGGUGAAGGCAUGAGGUCUAUGUUUUGUUCUGACUACACACCCCAGCAAUUUCAUCACUGGCUUCAAGUACCUUGGAUUUCAGCAGUCAUUUAUCAUUACCUAAUAGUCAGUCUCCGGUUCCCCAACCAUUACCCUUACAGUGUUCCACACAAACAUUUGCAAGUGGCUACCUCACAAACUCACCAUAAAAUGAAGUUUCCUGUAUUUGCUGCAGUUUGAAUGGAAGGCAGGGUUGCUGGGAAUCUAAAGGUAAAAAGAAAUCUCAUUUGUGAGUGAAAAUGUGCUACAAAAAGCAAGUCAUAAUUGUGACCAUCUAUACCUCUGUACCUCCUUUGGGCUUGAGAAUGCUUUUUUGUUUAGCUCCAAUUCAAACUUUAGUGCCUGGCUUUCCAACCAGAAGAAAAAAUAAAUCCCUCCAUUUUACAGAGAGCUUAUGUUUCUGUAUAAAAUCUCAUUAGUCUUGCACACCUUUGUUUCCUCAUUUUCCUCAACAGACUUCUUAUUCUCAACUGUGAAUCAUGUUUAAGAGGUUAACUCUACUGCUGGUCAGAAAAGCAUUCCAUGUACCUGAACAGAAUGGUACUUGCGUUGUAUUGUAAACGUUGCCUUUGAACAGGAUCAUAUUUCUUAAGAAUACAGUUGUCACUAAACUCCGCUUUUCUGGAUAAAGAAAGGCGGACUUUAGUGACAUCUGUAACCAACAGGCAAGAAAGAUGGUCUGAAGUAUAGGACAGUUUCCAUACAAGGAAAACGCUAGAUAGGAAUUGACUGUUCAUUACCUCUUUCCUUCAAAUGAAGACAAUGAGAGUCAGUGAGACUCCUAGCCUGAGGGUAUUGUGAGUUAAACAACUGCAGGGACAUUCAAAAGGAGACUGAAAAAGCUCCUAUUAUUUAAUAAGUUCAAGUUCACUGCAGAGGCAACUUCUAGCAGGCUCAGGACGUCUCCUCAAUGAAAAAUUAUUGAAGAGGUGCAUCACUUAUGCUUGUCUACUUCACCUUUUUCUGCCUAAAGCAACUGCCAAAGACAAAAGCCUUGACUGUAAAUGUAUGAAGUGGAUCCUUAGUCUGAACUAGUAAAAGGCAAUUUAGCAGUUUUGGAAAAGGGAGAAAAGUUAAAAAUGUACUAAAUUAUUUGCACUAUAUAUAUUCUAAAAACAUUCAGGGAAACAAAAAACCAAAAGGUAUUCUAAUUCUAAAGCCUCUGUCUUGCUCAUAAUCCAGUUCUUAAGGGAUGUAACUGCUUUUUGUUUUCUGAAACCCUGAACACCCUGAAUGAAAAAAGGUGUAGGUAGGCGCUGGGUAAAGACUCGAACUCUUGUGGGUUACUCUGAGCAGUAUUUAUUGUAGAAGAUUCACAGGAACAGCAGUGUUGGGUCACCUCCUCAGAGAGUGACAAUCAUACAGCAGUAUAACUAGUCAUUAUAUAGGGUUCUAACAGGUAUUAUGCAACUAAGCAAAAUCUAUCACUGUCUAUCACUGUCGAUAUCUAUCACUGUCGAUAUUCUCAGGUUCCUUCCGUUCCAGUGGUCUGCGGGUUCCACUUCUUCUUUCUUGGCAAGUACAGAACGACAGGUCAUCGGGUCGCAGGGCUAGCUUCUUUUGAAGUUCCACCUGUCUCAUUUGUUAUCCAUAGUUCACCAGUCUAGCACAGAAAUCAGCAACCCUAAGAAUAGCAUUUAUCAAUGUCUUAACUAAGGGUACAAAGCAAGCAUAAGGUAACCAUGCUCAUGGUUCUGGGUACGGACUAUACAGGGGACAAGCUGAGAAUUUCAGCCUUAGCAGCACAGCUUAUAACACUGAUAUAGACCUAAAAUCCUAAUUUCCUAUUUUCCUACAACACUGAAGUUUGCAGAUGACUCUUUCUUCAGCAGUCAUAACUUUGCUAAUGGUUGCCACCUCAGGUCUGCAUGUUGACUCAGCUUGCAAUCAUGGCUUGGAUGUUACUUUUUUAUUUGUGUUUGUCAGCAAAUAUAAAAAAUCACUCCACUUUCUACAUAUCUACAGACGCAUGGGCCAUUUUAUGCUUAGUUUCAACCAUGAUUUGAAAGACAUAAUAUGAGAUUUUGAAUAAAUAUACCAAGAUAGGUUAUGUUUUUAACAGUGUCUGGAGGACGAUUUGUCAAUAGUAGAGUUUUCAGUAGAACACUGAAAAAAAAAUCUAGUUUUCUGAAAUAUCCCACAUACUGUCUAGUGUGUUACAGGUUUGUUAGACUGACUGUAAUUUUAAAUUACUUUUGUUUAGGAGCAGUGCAAAUGCUAGGAAAAAAAAAGAGUAUAUUGUCUUCUUACUUAUAGGCUUCUGUGUGAGAAAAAAUAUCAAAAAAUAAUUUCUUUUGUUUUGGAAACCAGCUGUUACUCCCUUCAAAGCCUGUGCUGCAUAAUGAUUCCAUUACAAUUUUUGUGAAGAAGAUGUCUUUGUUCUUUCUUUUUCUAGCAGAACUUAUAUUGUCUUUACCUAAAUCUAAGCAAUCGACAUGAUAUAUAUAUCGUAAGUAGGAAUCGGGUUAUAUGUAUUUAUAUACAUAAUGAAUCUGUUGAAAAUAUGUUUUGUAAUGAU